rnacentral:rRNA from 1 species
ACCGGCGCACGGGUGAGUAACGCGUAUGCAACCUGCCCGAUACCGGGGUAUAGCCCAUGGAAACGUGGAUUAACACCCCAUAGUACUUUUAUCCUGCAUGGGAUGUGAGUUAAAUGUUCAAGGUAUCGGAUGGGCAUGCGUCCUAUUAGUUAGUUGGCGGGGUAACAGCCCACCAAGACGAUGAUAGGUAGGGGUUCUGAGAGGAAGGUCCCCCACAUUGGAACUGAGACACGGUCCAA